UCGCCACUUCAAUAUGAAGAAGAUUAAUUCAAAGGGAGGGAACAAAACCUGACCUGUAGGUCAGAAAAACGUCCAUUGGCACAUCAAGUUCGAUUCAGUUUACCGGUAAACAAAUAUAUUUUUCUGCAAGCCUAUGUAACAAUGCAAAUCAUCAUCAACCAAUGUACAACAGUUAAAUUAUUAAUUAUCUUGGCUACGUAGCUUAAUCUAUACAUUCCAGUAGCGUUCGCUACAAACAAUACAAAAACAACAAUAAAGGAAAACAGCUGUCUAACAGACAGCAUAGCCGAAUUCAAGGCAACACAUAACAAUAAUCAUUCAAUCGCACUUUGUUUCAAAGUAAGCCCAUUAAAAUGCUUAAGUAAAUAAAAGUGUUCAAAAACAGCGGUUUUUGAGCCGGAGUUCUGCUCGCGGUGGGAACGCCGCCGCACAAAGUCAUUUUUUAAUCGCGAAAACGAUCGGCUGGUUACUGACAACCAAAAGGUUGUUUUUGGUAGAUAUUAAAGAUCAUGGGUGGGCGGGGCAAAUGGAGCAGUUUUCUACAGUCGAGUAAAAUUCCAGGAAAGAGCUGGGUGUGGCUUUCCUUUAAAUCACAUGAUCAACAGCUUUAAGAUGGAGGCAACUCGCUCAGUGUUUCCUGUUUCAUUCUUAGACUGUGGCGAUGGUAAGUAGCAGCUUUUCACUUGUUACCUGGCAUCUUUUCAGCCACCAAUGAUAGUCAUUGUAUGUUAUCAACAUUUCACUAACUAUGUUUUCUCUCAUGUUUAAAAUAGGCCGACCAAGAGCAAAAUAGAAGACAACAAUUUCUCAAAGGAGGUUCAAAACUAAUGCCUACAAGAUUACCAAGAGGAUGGUUCGGGGCUCUUACAUGACUCCGGGAAGUCAACACUUGGUGGAUGAGAUCCUUCACAGCAUGUUGUUUCUGGGCAAAAUCAACAACAUCCCCUUUUCUCCAGAAGAAAUCUUCCCUAAUCCUU